AAGGGUUUAAACCAAUAUAAAUAGAUUUACAAUCUACCGCCUAAUAUUCAGCCACUUUACCUGUGUCCAUU
rnacentral:tRNA from 1 species